GUCUGUCGCGUCUGCUGUGAAAACUCAGGGCUCAACCCUGAGCUGGCAGUGGGUACGGGCAGGCUAGAGUGCAGUAGGGGAGACUGGAAUUCCUGGUGUAGCGGUGAAAUGCGCAGAUAUCAGGAGGAACACCGGUGGCGAAGGCGGGUCUCUGGGCUGUUACUGACGCUGAGGAGCGAAAGCGUGGGGAGCGAACAGGAUUAGAUACCCUGGUAGUCCACGCCGUAAACGUUGGGCGCUAGGUGUGGGUCCCAUUCCACGGGGUCUGUGCCGCAGCUAACGCAUUAAGCGCCCCGCCUGGGGGGUACGGCCGCAAGGCUAAAACUCAAAGGAAUUGACGGGGCCCCGCACAAGCGGCGGAGCAUGCGGAUUAAUUCGAUGCAACGCGAAGAACCUUACCAAGGCUUGACAUGCACGGUAAUCCUCCAGAGAUGGGGGGUCCGCAAGGGAUCGUGCACAGGUGGUGCAUGGUUGUCGUCAGCUCGUGUCGUGAGAUGUUGGGUUAAGUCCCGCAACGAGCGCAACCCUCGUUCCAUGUUGCCAGCGCGUAGUGGCGGGGACUCAUGGGAGACUGCCGGGGUCAACUCGGAGGAAGGUGGGGAUGACGUCAAAUCAUCAUGCCCCUUAUGUCUUGGGCUUCACGCAUGCUACAAUGGCCAGUACAAUGGGUUGCGAGACCGUGAGGUGGAGCGAAUCCCAAAAAGCUGGUCUCAGUUCGGAUCGGGGUCUGCAACUCGACCCCGUGAAGUCGGAGUCGCU
rnacentral:rRNA from 1 species